rnacentral:tRNA from 1 species
AGAGAAGUGCCUUGAUGGACUUCGAGGGUUUAUCUGGUGUUCUUUGUGUUUGAGCUGUCAAUUGUUCUCAUUAUAUUAUGGUUACUCGAUGAGUAUGAGUAGUCAUAACAAUGCAGUCUCAUAGCUCAGCUGGUUAGAGCGCUACACUGAUGAUGUAGAGGUCGGCAGUUCGAGUCUGCCUGAGACUACGAUAAUGUUCAUUGAUUAUUGAAUUGGAAAUUUUAGAAGUUGGGUAUUCCAGUUGACGCGUAAGGUCAUCAAUUAACUGAUAACUGUUAACUGAGUCCUAGCGGACAAACUGGGGAAUUAGCUCAGCUGGCUAGAGCGCCUGCCUUGCACGCAGGAGGUCAUCGGUUCGACUCCGAUAUUCUCCACAGUACAUUGUUAAUCCAAUAAGAUUUUUAGCUGAAUCGAAUUGAGGAGAUGUAAAACGUUCAUUGACAUAUCGGAAAAGAAAAUACGAGAAAAGCAAUUUUUUCAGUUAAAGACUUUUUAAGUCUUUAGCUAUAAGUAAACUCAUAAAAGAGCAAAAAGUAC